rnacentral:rRNA from 1 species
UACGAAGGGGCUAGCGUUGUUCGGAAUCACUGGGCGUAAAGGGCGCGUGAGGCGGCGCGACAAGUCAGGCGUGAAAGCCCCGGGCUCAACCCGGGGAAUUGCGCUUGAUACUGUCGUGCUUGAGGCCGGGAGAGGAUGGCGGAAUUCCCAGUGUAGAGGUGAAAUGCGUAGAUAUUGGGAGGAACACCAGUGGCGAAGGCGGCCACCUGGACCGGUUCUGACGCUGAUGCGCGAAAGCGUGGGGAGCAAACAGG